rnacentral:rRNA from 1 species
CGAAUUCACUAGUGAUUAGUUUGAUCGCGGCUCAGAAUCAACGCUAAUCGAAUUCCCGACACAGCCAUGGCGAACGCGAAAGCCACGCAAGGGGUUAUUAGGGCCAACGGUGAGUCGUGGGUGACCUACCUUCGAAUGGGGGAUAACGUCCCGAAAGGGACGCUAAUACCGCAUAACAUCCUGCUUUUGAACAAGUGGAGAUCAAAGCCGGGGAUCGCGAGACCUGGCGUUUGAAGAGGGGCCCGCGUCUGAUUAGCUAGUUGGUGAGGUAACGGCUCACCAAGGCGACGAUCGGUAACCGGCCUGAGAGGGCGGACGGUCACACUGGGACUGAGACACGGCCCAGACUCCUACGGGAGGCAGCAGUGGGGAAUUGUUCACAAUGGGCGCAAGCCUGAUGACGCAACGUGAUGUAGGUCACAUUGUAGAAUACUGAAGCUAUGCAUCCAACGCUUUGAGCUCACACGUAUGGUCGACUGCAGCGGCCGCGAA